AAACGAGAAUAAUACCCCGGGAACGAUAUUUAACUUUUUUGUUUUUUUUCAAAAAAAAAAAAAGAAAAUUAAAAAAAUAAAAAAAAGCGAUGUUGUU
rnacentral:ribozyme from 12 species